rnacentral:rRNA from 1 species
CUCGUAGGCGGUCCGUCACGUCGGAUGUGAAAUUCCAGGGCUCAACCCUGGACCUGCAUUCGAUACGGGCGGACUAGAGUUCGGUAGGGGAGACUGGAAUUCCUGGUGUAGCGGUGAAAUGCGCAGAUAUCAGGAGGAACACCGGUGGCGAAGGCGGGUCUCUGGGCCGAUACUGACGCUGAGGAGCGAAAGCGUGGGAGCGAACA